AUUGAACGCUGGCGGCAUGCUUUACACAUGCAAGUCGAGCGGCAGCGCGGGGGCAACCCUGGCGGCGAGCGGCGAACGGGUGAGGAAUACAUCGGAACGUGCCCGAGAGUGGGGGAUAACGCCGCGAAAGCGGCGCUAAUACCGCAUAUUCUCUGAGGAGGAAAGUGGGGGACCGCAAGGCCUCACGCUCACGGAGCGGCCGAUGUCGGAUUAGCUAGUUGGUGGGGUAAAGGCUUACCAAGGCGACGAUCCGUAGCUAAUCUGAGAGGAUGAUCAGCCACACUGGGACUGAGACACGGCCCAGACUCCUACGGGAGGCAGCAGUGGGGAAUUUUGGGCAAUGGGGGCAACCCUGAUCCAGCCAUGCCGCGUGCGGGAAGAAGGCCUUCGGGUUGUAAACCGCUUUUAACCGGGAAGAAAAGGCAUCUCUUAAUACGGGGUGUUCUUGACGGUACCGGUGGAAUAAGCACCGGCUAACUACGUG
rnacentral:rRNA from 1 species